AGAUAUUAGUAAAAUAAUUACGUAACUCUGUCAAGGUUAACUUACAGGUUAAACACCUGUAUAUCUUA
rnacentral:tRNA from 1 species